rnacentral:rRNA from 1 species
GACGAACGCUGGCGGCGUGCCUAAUACAUGCAAGUAGAACGCUGAAGGAGGAGCUUGCUCUUCUGGAUGAGUUGCGAACGGGUGAGUAACGCGUAGGUAACCUGCCUGGUAGCGGGGGAUAACUAUUGGAAACGAUAGCUAAUACCGCAUAACAGUAGAUGCUGCAUGACAUUUGCUUAAAAGGUGCAAUUGCACCACUACCAGAUGGACCUGCGUUGUAUUAGCUAGUUGGUGGGGUAACGGCUCACCAAGGCGACGAUACAUAGCCGACCUGAGAGGGUGAUCGGCCACACUGGGACUGAGACACGGCCCAGACUCCUACGGGAGGCAGCAGUAGGGAAUCUUCGGCAAUGGACGGAAGUCUGACCGAGCAACGCCGCGUGAGUGAAGAAGGUUGUCGGAUCGUAAAGCUCUGUUGUAAGAGAAGAACGAGUGUGAGAGUGGAAAGUUCACACUGUGACGGUAGCUGACCAGAAAGGGACGGCUAACUACGUG